rnacentral:lncRNA from 1 species
UGUUCAUCUCCUGGCCAGCUCAAGAAAAGAUUUAAAACUGCUGCUUGGAUUGUUUCCUUGGGCUGGGGCUUCCUCUUGCAAUGCUGAAGAUGAAUUGUUUCAGUACUCUCAGUGAUUUGUUGUGCUUCUGCGUGCACUGAGCAUUGCAUCCAGAGGUGGCUCCUUUCCGGUGCCAUGCAGAGCAUCCAGUCUUUCUCUCUCCGUGAUUCCUGGUGAAGCCUGAAAGGCAGCCCGGCUCCUGCAGGAUGGAAGAGGCUGAGAACACUGAUCUACGGCUGUGCCCUGCAAGUGCUGAGCCCUUCGGUGAGCUGUAGGAGGCCCUCAGCACCCAUCAACCUCACACAAGAAGGAAAGGGCAGAUUUUCCUAGGUGAUACAGCUGAGAAAAGCGUGGGUACAAAUUCUUGUGAAAGUGACUGAAAGGCUCAGAAACAAGUCUGAAGGAUCCCAAAUGGAUUUGCUGUUAUUUUUUAAUCUUUGCUUCAAGACAAGUGCCGCUAUCAUUUA